UCCAGUAUCUGAAAAGCACAAGAGCAUCUACUGCCAGGAUGGUGUUCACAGACUGAGCCUCUAGAAUUUCCCAGCAUCAGGCAGCUGCUUGCACUCCAGUGAGUCAGACUCAUUUUAGUGUGUCACUGCUGGUCUCAAGGAUGGGCUGGUAAAGCCCAAUACUGGGAAGAUCUCAACGGUUUCUAUCCCUAGGCCAGUGCCUGUGGACAGAGUAUCUGGACUUGCUCUGAUAUCGGGGGAGAAACUGCACCUGGUGAAGUGAACUUUUUUGGUGUGUAACACCUCCAGCUUCAUGCAGACCAGGGAUUGAAGAUACAAGCAAGGUCAUGGAUGGCCAGAGGAACCAGGGAGAAUAACAGGGAAACAAGGCCAGAAUUUAGGCAACUUGACCAAAGAUCUAUAGCUGUUGGAUAGAUGGCGAAUAAGUGAAACAAUUUUGAGCAAGAAGAACAAGCCUGGAGGCAUCAUAUAUCUGGAUUUCAGAGUAUAUCCCCAUCUACAGUAAUCAAAACAGUGUAAUAUUGGCAUUAAUACAGAUAGACCAAUGGAACAGAAUAGAGAGCUAAAAAGUAAACCCAUGAAUAUACUACAACCAAGAAUGUACAGUGGGGAAAGGAUAGUCUCUUCAAUAAAUGGCAUUAGAAAAAUUGAAUAUUUACAUCCAAAAGAUUGAAACUGCAUCCUUAUGUCAUACACAAAAAUUAAAGCAAAAUGGAUUAGACUUGAAUGUAAGAUCUGAAACCAUCAAACUCCUAGAGGAAAACAUGAGAAAACUUUCUUGACAUUUGUCUUAGCAAGGAGUUUUGAACUAUAACACUAAAAUCCUAGGCAAAAAUGUUAAUAGCCAAAAAUAAAAACACAAUUAAAACUACGCAAGGAUCCAAAUAGACAUUUCUCCAACAGAGACAUGCACAUAUCAAUAGGUAUAUGAACAAAUGUGCAACAUCACCAACCAUGAGGUAAAUGCAACUCAAAACCACAAUGAGUUAUCACCUCACAUCUGUUAGGAUG